CCCCUCUCAGAGUAGCACCUGGGGAGUUUCCGGUACUCUACCAGUCUCCGCUAAAGGAGGGAGAGUCAAGCGGAGGCCUGUCCAUUCCAUUCCUAACUUGGUCAGUGGCUAGCGAGUGGAAGGCAAUCCGCUACAAGG